rnacentral:tRNA from 1 species
AGGGGAAUAGCUCAGUGGUAGAGCAUAUGAUUAGCAUGCAUGAGGUCCUGAGUACAAUCCCCGGUACUUUCA